UACGUAGGUGGCAAGCGUUGUCCGGAUUUACUGGGCGUAAAGAGCGCGCAGGCGGUCGUUCAAGUCGCGUGUGAAAGCCCCCGGCUCAACUGGGGAGGGUCACGCGAUACUGAUCGACUCGAAGGCAGGAGAGGGAAGUGGAAUUCCCGGUGUAGUGGUGAAAUGCGUAGAUAUCUGGAGGAACACCGGUGGCGAAGGCGGCAUCCUGGACCAACACUGACACUGAGGAGCGAAAGCCAGGGGAGCAAACGGG
rnacentral:rRNA from 1 species